rnacentral:rRNA from 1 species
UACGUAGGGUGCUAGCGUUGUCCGGAUUUAUUGGGCGGAAAGGGCUCGUAGGCGGCGUGUCGCGUCGGGAGUGAAAGCCCGAGGCUUAACCUCGGGUCUGCAGUCGAUACGGGCUAGCUAGAGUGUGGUAGGGGAGAUCGGAAUUCCUGGUGUAGCGGUGAAAUGCGCAGAUAUCAGGAGGAACACCGGUGGCGAAGGCGGAUCUCUGGGCCAUUACUGACGCUGAGGAGCGAUAGCGUGGGGAGCGAACAGG